UACGUAGGGUCCGAGCGUUGUCCGGAGUUACUGGGCGUAAAGCGCGCGCAGGCGGCGGUAUAAGCAUGGCGUGAAAGCCCCAGGCUCAACCUGGGAGGGUCGUCGUGGACUGUACCGCUUGAGGGCGGUAGGGGCUGGUGGAAUGCCUGGUGUAGUGGUGAAAUGCGUAGAGAUCAGGCGGAACACCCGUGGCGAAGGCGGCCAGCUGGGCCGUCCCUGACGCUGAGGCGCGAAGGCGCGGGGAGCGAACGGG
rnacentral:rRNA from 1 species